UGACCUUUAGCUCAGUUGGUUAGAGCAGACGGCUCAUAACCGUCCGGUCGCAGGGUCGAGUCCUGCAAGGUCCA
rnacentral:tRNA from 1 species